rnacentral:rRNA from 1 species
GAUGAACGCUGGCGGCGUGCUUAACACAUGCAAGUCGAACGAUUGAAGCUGGAGCUUGCUCCGGCCGAUUUAGUGGCGGACGGGUGAGUAACGCGUGGGUAACCUGCCUCAUACAGGGGGAUAGCAGUUGGAAACGACUGGUAAAACCGCAUAAGCGCACGGUAUCGCAUGAUACAGUGUGAAGACACUCCGGUGGUAUGAGAUGGACCCGCGUCUGAUUAGCUAGUUGGUGAGGUAACGGCCCACCAAGGCGACGAUCAGUAGCCGGCCUGAGAGGGUGAACGGCCACAUUGGGACUGAGACACGGCCCAAACUCCUACGGGAGGCAGCAGUGGGGAAUAUUGCACAAUGGGGGAAACCCUGAUGCAGCGACGCCGCGUGAGUGAUGAAGUAUUUCGGUAUGUAAAGCUCUAUCAGCAGGGAAGAUAAUGACGGUACCUGACUAAGAAGCAC